GUGAACGCUGGCGGUAGGCCUAACACAUGCCAGUCGAACGGCAGCACAGUAAGCGCUUGCUCUUACGGGUGGCGAGUGGCGGACGGCUGAGGAAUACAUCGGAAUCUACUUUUUCGUGGGGGAUAACGUAGGGAAACUUACGCUAAUACCGCAUACGACCUACGGGUGAAAGCAGGGGAUCUUCGGACCUUGCGCGAUUGAAUGAGCCGAUGUCGGAUUAGCUAGUUGGCGGGGUAAAGGCCCACCAAGGCGACGAUCCGUAGCUGGUCUGAGAGGAUGAGCAGCCACACUGGAACUGAGACACGGUCCAGACUCCUACGGGAGGCAGCAGUGGGGAAUAUUGGACAAUGGGCGCAAGCCUGAUCCAGCCAUACCGCGUGGGUGAAGAAGGCCUUCGGGUUGUAAAGCCCUUUUGUUGGGAAAGAAAAGCAGCAGGUUAAUACCCCGCUGUUCUGACGGUACCCAAAGAAUAAGCACCGGCUAACUUCGUG
rnacentral:rRNA from 1 species